rnacentral:rRNA from 1 species
UACGUAGGGUGCAGGCGUUAAUCGGAAUUACUGGGCGUAAAGCGUGCGCAGGCGGUCUGCUAAGAGAGGUGUGAAAAUCCCCGGGCUUAACCUGGGAACUGCGCUUCUAACUGGCAGGCUUGAGUGUGGCAGAGGGGGGGUGGAAUUCCACGUGUAGCAGUGAAAUGCGUAGAGAUGUGGAGGAACACCGAUGGCGAAGGCAAUCCCCUGGACCUGUACUGACGCUCAUGCACGAAAGACGUGGG